rnacentral:misc_RNA from 1 species
AAACCUCUCAGCAGAAUUUAUUUUUUGUUGGUCAUGGGCUGCGGAGGACCAGCUAUAAUGGCUGCUCCCGCCUUAAAAUUGCUGCACGACCGCAAGCUAUUGCUAGGUUAAUGGAGUGGCGUUUACAUUAUAUUCCAGCGAUUUACUGCAAUGCUUGGUGGCGUAAAACCCAAUGUUGCGAAAGCGACUGAA